rnacentral:tRNA from 1 species
UGGAAUAUACCUCAGUGGCAUAGUGCCUGCCUGGCAAGCACAAGGUCCUGAGUUCAAUUCUUAGUAUCCAA